rnacentral:rRNA from 1 species
GUAGGUGGCAAGCGUUGUCCGGAAUUAUUGGGCGUAAAGCGCGCGCAGGUGGUUCUUUAAGUCUGAUGUGAAAGCCCCCGGGCUCAACCGGGGAGGGUCAUUGGAAACUGGGGAACUUGAGUGCAGGAGAGGAAAGUGGAAUUCCACGUGUAGCGGUGAAAUGCGUAGAUAUGUGGAGGAACACCAGUGGCGAAGGCGACUUUCUGGCCUGUAACUGACACUGAGGCGCGAAAGCGUGGGGAGCAAACAGGGUUAGAUACCCUGGUAGUCCACGCCGUAAACGAUGAGUGCUAAGUGUUGGGGGGUUUCCGCCCCUCAGUGCUGCAGCUAACGCAUUAAGCACUCCGCCUGGGGAGUACGGUCGCAAAGACUGA